ACACUCUCUGCGAACAGAUUUCAAUCGUGUCACUUGACAUCAUAUCAUAUAUAUAACUAUGCAAUAUAUUUAUACCUUACAGGGGUCUACACAUAUUAUUUUUAUAUAUGUUGGUGGGUUUAUUUUCAUAAUAAAUACCACGGUCCCAAAUUUGAAUACAGACAAAACAAAAUAAUCGAAACCUUUAUCAAAAUUCAACAUAAUAUCAAGGGACAAUAUAGAAAGUAUUAUAUUUUUAACCCUUUAGGUAAUUAGUUCGAAACUCCAGCUCCCCCAUAAGGAAAACACGAUUGGGAAACCGGCUUUUCUUAGAAUAUCAAAUAACGGCGUGUGUCAUCAUUUGCAAACCCAGCUGUAGUUACGUGGGUGUGUGAUACUUAAAACACCUCGGGUUUAUUAUCAUACUUAUCACACCACCAAACUCAGAAGCUUCUGACACCUUGACAAUCUACUUCAAUAAUAAAAAGCUGUUGAUAAUGAAGAAACCGAUAUUAACUAGCAUUUCAUAUAAAAUUACUGACAUUAAACUGUUAAUAUUUAAGUUUAUUUAGGCUACAUACAAAAACUAUUUUAUCGGAAAAAAGUAAUUGGGACAUAGGGGUAGACUCCGAUAUUAUCAAGCUUAACGGGCGAUUGACACAAUCGAAUCUAUAGAUCUGUAAGUUCGAACAAAACCAAUUAAAUAUAAAUUCUACAAUAGUGCAAAAUAUAUACAUACAUACGCUCAUAUUAUCUGAAUAGAAGAAUUCUAAUAAUAGUAAUAUGAUAUAUCAGUUGUAUCAAAAUGUAUUUAAGGCCAUUAUUUAAGCGGUUUCACGGUUUGAGAUUAGUGACAUUGUUUGGUUACUAAAAUCAUAUUUUGAUGAUGUCAGUCCAAAUUGUUUGAUUUAAUUUAAUCAUUAGAUUAGAUUAAUGAUUUAAUUAAGUUAAUUAAGUUGUUAAAGUCUAAACAUAUUCAAAUUAAAUACUUAAACCCAAGAAAGCAUUGGUUAAGAAUGUGAAAGCUUCAUGAACAUGUAAAAAGAAAAUCUAGAACGCAAAUUAAUAUUUUUCUAGCUACUCGUGACCUUUCACCAUAUGACGUAUUAACGUAGAAAAACUAAACAUGAUAUCGUCAUAAGAUGGGCAACGACGGAGGGAGGUUUAGCUCCAACCAGCGAUGACAUGCCAGUGGGUGGGCCCAAGACGCCCCAACAGAUUGCUGCCCAGCGCCGUCUUCAACAGACACAGGCUCAAGUCGAUGAGGUGGUGGAUAUUAUGAAAACAAACGUCGAAAAGGUACUGGAGAGAGAUCAGAAGCUUUCGGAACUUGAUGACCGAGCAGAUGCACUGCAACAAGGCGCUUCACAGUUUGAACAACAAGCUGGCAAGCUGAAGAGCAAAUUUUGGUUGCAGAACCUAAAAAUGAUGAUAAUCGCAGCUGUCAUUGGAAUUAUAAUUUUGGCUUUAAUCAUUGCCAACUUUGUGUGAACAAGUUUCGGUAACCGAAGUUUAAUUUAGAAGUUACUUGUUAUAUUAUGAAUAGAUAUAAUGCAGUCUGUAAACAUAUUUAGUGGCAAACCGAGGUCUCGCUACGCUGCUUUUCGGUCCCGGCUACGAUUAACCCGAAUAAUAAUUUUGUCGUUCUUUAUAGAUUAGUGUUGUUGAAUGUUUUCUUAAUUAUAUAAAAUGAAACAGUAUAAUAUCGAAAUAUUGAGGCUAAAUAUCUUAGAAUUUUUAAAUUUUUGAGAUCACUUAUCUUACCGAAUCUGUCACUAUUUUGCCAUAAGUAAUGUUUUAAUAGAAUAUUUUUAGAAGAUCUUUCUUUAUUAACAUUUACUGUUGAAUAGCGAAAAUUUCCGCUGGCCCUUACAAUAAGGCUUAUCAAAAAUAUACCAUAUCAAGAUAUUUUCUAAUUGUGUUCAACAAUAUAAAUUUUUAUUAAUUUUGCUUUUUAUACUUGGACCAAAUUUUUUAAAACUGUUACCCCUAGAGACCUGUUAAUGUUGUUUUAGAGACCGUGUUACAAAGUAGAGUUUAAUUUUCUAAAAUUUAUUUUCGACGUUUAUUAAACACAACAUUUUGUCCUAUAUAAGUCGCUUAAAAUUUGUCAUGCUAUUUAUACCUAUAUGUUUUUUAAUGUAUAAAAAAUGUAUUAUGGGAAGCUGCACAGCACCUUGAGCGGUUUUGUAACUUGUUAAAAAUGUAUACCUAUUAGCCGUUUCACAAUGUAACCAUUUAAACUUAGUUACAUAGAUUUGAAACGAAGUUUUAUACCUAAUAAAAUUAUUGUUAAAUAUAUUACAAUUUGUAUAGAUGUGUCACAAUAUACCUUCUUAUAAGGUUUUAUUACUGGCCAGUUCGUGUAUUUAAAAAAAAUCUGUGUGUUUAAAACAUGUAAGAAAUUGAUGUAGAUUUUAACUGCUUUCUAGUUAGAUAAUGCUAAUUCUGUUGUACAUAAAUCUGAUAUAGACUUAACAAUUAAUAUAUUUAUUUUGUUAUGCAUAAAAAUCUCUUCUGUACAUCAGAAUUGUACCACAUGUUCUACUUCUGCAAAUAUUUACCAGUAAUAUUUUUAAAUUAAAAAGUAUGUGCUUAAUAUUGCGUUUCAAAUAAAGAAUUUAUAUUUUUUUCG